rnacentral:rRNA from 1 species
GAUGAACGCUGGCGGCGUGCCUAAUACAUGCAAGUCGAGCGAACAGACGAGGAGCUUGCUCCUCUGACGUUAGCGGCGGACGGGUGAGUAACACGUGGAUAACCUACCUAUAAGACUGGGAUAACUUCGGGAAACCGGAGCUAAUACCGGAUAAUAUAUUGAACCGCAUGGUUCAAUAGUGAAAGACGGUUUUGCUGUCACUUAUAGAUGGAUCCGCGCCGCAUUAGCUAGUUGGUAAGGUAACGGCUUACCAAGGCAACGAUGCGUAGCCGACCUGAGAGGGUGAUCGGCCACACUGGAACUGAGACACGGUCCAGACUACUACGGGAGGCAGCAGUAGGGAAUCUUACGCAAUGGGCGAAAGCCUGACGGAGCAACGCCGCGUGAGUGAUGAAGGUCUUCGGAUCGUAAAACUCUGUUAUUAGGGAAGAACAAAUGUGUAAGUAACUAUGCACGUCUUGACGGUACCUAAUCAGAAAGCAACGGCUAACUACGUG